AUCUUUUUUUAUUUUAUCAUUAAAAAAUACAAAAAUAUAUAAUUCAAAGGUGUGGGUUUUAAAUACAGACGAUCGCGGAACCUCGGUCCGCCAAAUCAGUAAUGAUCCUUCCGCAGGUUCACCUACGGAAA
rnacentral:misc_RNA from 1 species